UCAAAGCGAAAGUAAAGUGCAUCGUCCUAAGCUGUCUUUUUUAUGAAACCAGAAACAUCUUAACACCUAGUUUUGUUAAUUUAGAUUUUCUGGAUGGAACGUCAUUUAGAUGAAAUAUGACCAUACAUUUCCAUUUAGUUCAGUUCAGAUGAAAUAUCAAAGUCAUCUGAAGUCAUUGAGGAGUGACCGGUCAAUGGAUCCUUCCCAUACCUAGUGGACAAACUGAUCUUUGAUUUAGUGCACAGACCCGACCUGCCAGAACCCAGCUGUGUGUCCAUGAAGAGAGACUGGUCAAUGGAUCCUCCACAUAACUUUAGUGAACACACUGAUCUUGGAUUUAGUUUGGUCCAGAUGCAAAGACCAAAGUUAUCUAAACCCAGCUGUGUGCCUAUGAGGGGUGUCUGGUCAGUGGAUCUGCCUCAAAACUUAAGUGGACACAAAGAUCCUAUGUUUAGCAUGGACCCUCCAGAACCCAGCUGUGUGUCCAUGAAGAGUGACUGGUCAAUGGAACCUCCACGUAACUUUCGUGAACACACUGUAUCAUCAAAUAAGACCGAUCGUUACAACACUAAUCUUGGGUUUAGUAUGGACCCACCAGAACCCAGCUGUGUGUCCAUGAAGAGUGACUGGUCAAUGGAACCUCCACGUAACUUUCGUGGACACACUGUACCAAAUCUUG